UAUAUAGGUGUACCAGUACUACCCUUUCUUGUUUGUUAUAUAUGUUAUAGGAAAAACAAGGGUAUCGGUUCGCCCUGAAAAUAUUUUCUUGUCAAAUCAUUUUAUCUCAUGUCAAAAUGGGUGGUCGAAAUUCGCGAUUCAGCAAUAUAUACAUUUGUCUGGCAGCAUAAGAAUCAGAAUAGACCAUUACUCUAAUUUGCCCACUAUUAACAAAGUGGUGGACGAUUAAGAGCAUUUGUUUAAUGUUAAAGAAGAGUUUAAUUACAUGAUAACAACUAAUAAAUAUGUGGUAACCCCUUGGAAGAUCAAAUACACAAGAACAGAGGAAUCUUCUUUAUGUGACAACUAAUAUAGAUUUCUUUUUAAUAUGUACAAGCAAUUUAAUAUUAUACUACAAUUGGAUUAUCUUAUCUCCUAUAUAUAAAGGAAAGAACAAUAGCCUUUGCCUCUUACAAUCAUG
rnacentral:lncRNA from 1 species